rnacentral:rRNA from 1 species
GCGCAGCAGGCGAGAAACCUUCGCAAUGCGGGAAACCGCGACGAGGGGACUCCCAGUGCCUACGCUCAGCGUAGGCUGUUCCCGAGCCUAGAAAGCUCGGGGAGUAAGGGCUGGGUAAGACGGGUGCCAGCCGCCGCGGUAAUACCCGCAGCCCGAGUGGUGGCCACUAUUAUUGGGCCUAAAGCGUCCGUAGCCGGCCCGGUAAAUGCCUGGGUAAAUCGUGAGGCCUAACCUCACGAAUUCCGGGUAGACUGCCGGGCUAGGGACCGGAGGAGGGAGAGGGUACUCCAGGGGUAGGGGUGAAAUCCUGUAAUCCCUGGAGGACCACCGGUGGCGAAGGCGCUCUCCUAGGACGGGUCCGACGGUGAGGGACGAAAGCCAGGGGAGCGAACCGGAUUAGAUACCCGUGUAGU